UAAAAUUUUACCUCUACCCAAAGGGUUUUCAGAUAAGCCUGAGAAUUGAAUUAACAUGUUAUAAAUUACCAGGAGAAAAGUAUUUACAUGGGAAUCUCAAGGAGAAAAGGAAGGCUCAAAGUGUUUAUAUACUUGAUUAAACAAAGAUAUCCUUUUGGAAGAGUACUGAAAGCUAUGGGGAGAAUAAUUGGAGAGAAACGUGAUUAGUCAGCAAAUCAAGAAUAACUCCAAGAGGACCAGCUAAUCAUCAACCAGUUACGGAAGAUGACCUGUCAGAUCUGUAUUUUCUACCUCAGAAGAGAUCAAACAUGGACAGAGGAUAUAUAAUUUGCAGAUCAUUGAAUGUAACCAGAAAAUAACGACGACAAGUUUAGAAACAUUGCUCUACAGUCACAUACUAGGUAUGGAUGCUGCUUAAUCCCGGGAGUGUAACCAGCUUUAAUUGAAAAAUUUGGGUCUACUAGCAUA